GGCUACCAUGCAGUCGAGCGGAUGAGGGAGCUUGCUCCUGGAUUCAGCGGCGGACGGGUGAGUAAUGCCUAGGAAUCUGCCUGGUAGUGGGGGAUAACGUCCGGAAACGGGCGCUAAUACCGCAUACGUCCUGAGGGAGAAAGUGGGGGAUCUUCGGACCUCACGCUAUCAGAUGAGCCUAGGUCGGAUUAGCUAGUUGGUGGGGUAAAGGCCUACCAAGGCGACGAUCCGUAACUGGUCUGAGAGGAUGAUCAGUCACACUGGAACUGAGACACGGUCCAGACUCCUACGGGAGGCAGCAGUGGGGAAUAUUGGACAAUGGGCGAAAGCCUGAUCCAGCCAUGCCGCGUGUGUGAAGAAGGUCUUCGGAUUGUAAAGCACUUUAAGUUGGGAGGAAGGGCAGUAAGUUAAUACCUUGCUGUUUUGACGUUACCAACAGAAUAAGCACCGGCUAACUUCGUGCCAGCAGCCGCGGUAAUACGAAGGGUGCAAGCGUUAAUCGGAAUUACUGGGCGUAAAGCGCGCGUAGGUGGUUCAGCAAGUUGGAUGUGAAAUCCCCGGGCUCAACCUGGGAACUGCAUCCAAAACUACUGAGCUAGAGUACGGUAGAGGGUGGUGGAAUUUCCUGUGUAGCGGUGAAAUGCGUAGAUAUAGGAAGGAACACCAGUGGCGAAGGCGACCACCUGGACUGAUACUGACACUGAGGUGCGAAAGCGUGGGGAGCAAACAGGAUUAGAUACCCUGGUAGUCCACGCCGUAAACGAUGUCGACUAGCCGUUGGGAUCCUUGAGAUCUUAGUGGCGCAGCUAACGCGAUAAGUCGACCGCCUGG
rnacentral:rRNA from 1 species